AGUGAACGCUGGCGGCGUGCUUAACACAUGCAAGUCGAACGAGAACGGGUUAUAGCUUGCUAUAAUUGUCAGCUAAGUGGCGCACGGGUGAGUAAUGUAUAGGUAAUAUGCCUCUUACUAAGGGAUAACAAAUGGAAACGUUUGCUAAUACCUUAUACUCCUUAUUAACAGAAGUAAAUAAGGGAAAGAUUUAUUGGUAAGAGAUUAGCCUGUAUUGUAUCAGUUAGUUGGUGGGGUAAUGGCUUACCAAGACUAUGACACAUAACUGGUUUGAGAGGAUGAUCAGUCACACUGGAACUGAGACACGGUCCAGACUCCUACGGGAGGCAGCAGUGGGAAUAUUGCACAAUGGACGAAAGUCUGAUGCAGCAACACCGCGUGGAGGAUGACACAUUUCGGUGCGUAAACUCCUUUUAUAUGAGAAGAUAAUGACGGUAUUAUAUGAAUAAGCACCGGCUAACUCCGUG
rnacentral:rRNA from 1 species